UAUCGCGUUACCAGGUUACGUGGUGCAUGAAAGGGUUAAAAACGCAGGAUUCUGCUUUUCCACGUCUUUGCUUUCAGGUGUUCAGGCACCCCAAAACUACUUCCACUGCCACAGUCUCUACUUCUGUCCCAUCCUCUCCCACCCUGUCCUCUUGGUUGCUUGUUACGUCCCACAGAGGAAGAUGAAGGCAGACAAGGCUGAUUCGAGAAGAUUUGGCAGGCCUGCCAACAGAUGGCGCCGUAAUCGCAGACGUGAGUGUGACUGGAAUUUGGAGGAGGCCAGCAGGAGAGGCUAAGAUGGCGGCACGAAUGUCUGCUGUUUCGGCUUGCGGAACGCCAUGAACCACAUCCGCCAUCACCUGUUGGGGUUGUCAUUGCGAGGGUCCGGGUCAACAGGCCGAUGGCUAUUGUAGGAUUGUGAACCUGCAGCAAGCAUCGUAUCAUCAAGAUUUCCUGCACUCACAUACCGGUGUUGGCAAUGUGGAGAAAAUCCCCCAACGCCGCUUUGUUGUGUUGUUUUGAUUCCUCACUUUGGGUCCUUUGCAAGCUUGCUCUGCCGGUCAAAGAAUCGCAAACGCUGUUAGGAGUGAUGACAUCGUAAAGGAAAAGAUGGGUGGUGGCCCAUCAUAAAGACACUCAACGCUGGCAACAGGAA